rnacentral:rRNA from 1 species
UACGAAGGGGGGCUAGCGUUGCUCGGAAUUACUGGGCGUAAAGCGCACGUAGGUGGCUUUCUAAGUCGGGGGGUGAAAUCCUGGAGCUCAACUCCAGAACUGCCUUCGAUACUGGAGAGCUCGAGUCCGGGAGAGGUGAGUGGAACUGCGAGUGUAGAGGUGAAAAUUCGUAGAUAUUCGCAAGAACACCAGUGGCGAAGGCGGCUCACUGGCCCGGUACUGACGCUGAGGCGCGAAAGCGUGGGGAGCGAACAGG